UUACUCUGGUUUGUCUUAAAAUCAUAUAAAUCUUUUGUCUUUUACUAAAGAUUUCUGUGGAGAAUGGCACGAUCAACCCAUGUGUCAGUUCUGCAAAUAGCAAUUAUUGUCAAUCCUAUUUUGUCUGAAUU